AACGAACGCUGGCGGCAUGCCUAACACAUGCAAGUCGAACGAACCCUUCGGGGUUAGUGGCGCACGGGUGCGUAACGCGUGGGAAUCUGCCCUUUGCUUCGGAAUAACAGUUAGAAAUGACUGCUAAUACCGGAUGAUGACUUCGGUCCAAAGAUUUAUCGGCAAAGGAUGAGCCCGCGUAGGAUUAGGUAGUUGGUGGGGUAAAGGCCUACCAAGCCGACGAUCCUUAGCUGGUCUGAGAGGAUGAUCAGCCACACUGGGACUGAGACACGGCCCAGACUCCUACGGGAGGCAGCAGUGGGGAAUAUUGGACAAUGGGCGCAAGCCUGAUCCAGCAAUGCCGCGUGAGUGAUGAAGGCCUUCGGGUCGUAAAGCUCUUUUACCAGGGAUGAUAAUGACAGUACCUGGAGAAUAAGCUCCGGCUAACUCCGUGCCAGCCGCCGCCGUAACAC
rnacentral:rRNA from 1 species